rnacentral:rRNA from 1 species
GAUGAACGCUGGCGGCGUGCCUAAUACAUGCAAGUCGAACGAGGUGCUUUUGUAGCAAUACGAGAGUAUCCUAGUGGCGACCGGGUGAGUAACGCGUUGGUGACCUACCCCAAAGUGUGGAAUAACAGUCCGAAAGGAUUGCUAAUACCGCAUGUGGUUAUCGGGUUUAGAAACUGAUAACUAAAGGAGCAAUUCGCUUUGGGAGGGACCUGCGUCCCAUCAGCUAGUUGGUGAGGUAAUGGCUCACCAAGGCUACGACGGGUAGGGGACCUGAGAGGGUGACCCCCCACAAUGGAACUGAAACACGGUCCAUACACCUACGGGUGGCAGCAGUAGGGAAUAUUGCACAAUAGGCGAAAGCCUGAUGCAGCAACGCCGCGUGCACGAUGAAGGCCUUCGGGUCGUAAAGUGCUUUUCUGGGAGAUGAGAAAGGACAGUAGCCCAGGAAUAAGUCUCGGCUAACUACGUG